CUAGCACGUGCCUAAGCUCCUGACUGUCUGGAUUGUGCUAUGGGGCUUCCGUAGACCGUUUUCCUCGGUUAGGAUUUAACAUGGCGGCUCCCUUUCCGGAAAUGGCAAAAGUGACCUGUGAUGGAAAAAUCUAGUACUGGCCAGCCGAUAGGCCUGUAAUGAGAAGAGAGUGGACCCGGAAUUAGCUGUCCAGACCUGCCAGAUGAGGCCAGCAAACUUCCUCAGAUAUUACUGGCCUUCUUGGAAACCAGCCUCAUUAAUCCUGCUAUGAUGCCAAGAGGUAGCCCAGCAACUCACACUUUGCCUUGCUCUGAGCAACUUUCUUUUCUGGCCAUCUCUGACGCCUUAUGCCGAAGCUGAUGUGGCUCAGCACCAAGUUCAGGCACCAAGAAGGUGCUUGUUAACUGGCAGUGCCGAAAAGGUCUCUCUUUCAUUGUCUGUGUAAAGUUACUUCUUUCCUGGGCAGUGGUUAAUUUGUUGAAAAUGUGUGGAAGAGUUUUCACAGUUGGGGUGGGGGGAAAGCGCUAAAUAGAAAUGUGAACUCUUCCAAGGUGCAUUCAGAGACACUUCUAACCUCUAGUUUCAUAGAAACCUCGGGCUCCUCUGUUGCUCUAUUAGCAUUGGUUUUAUCCAGAAGGAGGCAUCACAGAACCUGAAUUUCAUUCACCAAGGUUUAAAAGAAAAUGCACAUUUCCUUGUGAUUGGAAACUAAAGUGUGUAGUCUUUAGAGGGCAUGUUUAAAGACUUUUUGUUUAUCCCUGUAAUUGGUGAAAUUACUUUAAAGCUGUGAAAGAUGGGGAUGGUGAUAGUUUCCUACUCAGUGAAAACCUGAAGCCUGAGAUACUUAGAAAAACCUGUCCUAGGCCCAUGUUCCUUCACCAAGUGACAUGAUGAUGAUCAAAACUGGCUUAUUUCCUAGUCAAAACAGUUGUGAAACUUAAGAAUAACCGUGAGGUCUUCUUGCCCUUCCAUACACACUUGUUCCCACUGCCCAUCAAAGUCAUCUUAGCUGACUUCAUUGGAGGCAGGGGUCAAGAAAACCUAAAUGGAUGGUUUAGUCAGUAAAUCUUCUGUGUAUGGGCACUUAAAAAUAAGUCACAAGGUUGAGGAUUCCACAAAGGUGACUCUCAAAUUGGUGACAGUCUCACAAAUCAGGGCUUUCAUGGAAAGAGAAGGUAAUCUUUUUCUGAAUUUGAGAUGGAAUCUGGGUUUCUGGUUCCUUUCCAGGAAUUCAUUCCUAGGCCAGCCAUGUCACUUAGGCUCAUGAGACAGUACCUCAGUGAAUGUCUACUCACUCGUGGGAAUGUUAAUGUUCCAUAAAUUCUUGGUGUGAGGUAUUCCUUUGGAUACACACCACAAGUGGGAUUGCUGGACUAGACGGUCAUUCUGUUUUUAACUUUUUGAGGGAGUUUCAUACUGUUUUCCAUAGUAGCUGUACCAAUUUAGUCUUGAACUAAAUGAGUUUCGUGAGCAGUUCUCAGCCACUUUUGAUUGUCGGUUCUUUUCAGGAGAAGUACUGGAGAGAUUAGGGGCUCAAAGGGGAAAGCACGCCCCUGAUCAGGAAAGAUGGAAUGACUGACUACAUACGGACCUUCGUUGGGGUUCCUAAAGCCUAGAGGUGGGGAAGGGGCCGGGAAGAGUGACCCUCUAUAGAGCUGCUCUCAGAGCACAAGGAGAAAGCUGGACAGGAGGACAUAGGCCCUCAGUGUGAAAGGUGCAUUGGACUUUCUGUGGUCAAAAGUGUCUGCUACCUAUUUCUCAGUCCCUGGUACUGCCUGGGAUCAUUGUAGCAUGGGGACUGAAGAUAAUAGUGCACAUCGCUGAGUGUGACAUGAGAGUGGAUUACUUUGUGGCAAAGGUGAGACUUUGAUGAUGAAGGCUUUACCCUAUGUUACAGCAUUCCUCAGAAUUUUGGAGUUCACUGUUAGGGAUAUUCUUGUGUUCCUGCUUCAGUCUAUGCACUGCCAUAGGCUGUCAAAAGCAUCUGGGGAAAGGUGAGCUUUCCCCCUCCUAUACUGUGGCCUAGAGCAGUAGUCUGAGAGAGUCUCCCGGGAGGUGCCCACUGAUGGUGACUACACUUGGUUGAGUAGACCACUCAACUCUUCUGUUGGGACUACCAUAAAGAGGCACAUGAAAGUGAGCUGCUGUUGCUGGUGUGUUCUAGUGAUCUAGCAGCCAGACACUUCUUCCUUCAACACUCACACACCUCAGGUGCCUUGGUAAACUCCUAAAGGAGGCGCAUAUUGGCAACGGCAGCAUGUGGGGCAUGGGAAAUGUUGAGUCAGGGGCAGAAGUUGGCGGUAGCCUGAUGUCAGAAUUCUGUGCCUUUGUGCAGAGCGAGGGCACAUUGGGAUUCCCGAGGAGUCCCAACUCUGUAGGAAUGUGGUUGGAACUUUCCACGUUCACUUUCUGCACUCUUCCACUGAGCACACUCUGCACAUUGUGUGGAAGAAAGAGGUCCGAUGGGUCUUGUCAAUGAACUGUCCAUGAAUCCGGGGCCAUUUGCUUCUUUCUGCGCAUAUGCCGAUGAGCCUGGAUGUCCAGGAACCUCCGGAGUCAGGUGCCCCAGCUGGAGCAUGAAGCCCUUGUAUUCCUCUUGCUGGAGAGGGCUACACCCCCAGGCUGUGGCUCUCUCUCCCCUCUGUGUGUCUGCUAGAAAGCCUUUCUAGCAGAAAGGCUGGCUGCUGGUGGCUUCUCUUCCAUUUGGGUCUUCCUGUUGAUGGGGGUGACAUUGCCUCAAGGGGCCUUCU
ensembl:lncRNA